UACGUAGGCAGCGAGCGUUGUUCGGAGUUACUGGGCGUAAAGGGUGUGUAGGCGGUUCUUUAAGUUUGGUGUGAAAUCUCCCGGCUCAACCGGGAGGGUGCGCCGAAUACUGAGGGACUAGAGUGCGGGAGAGGAAAGUGGAAUUCCUGGUGUAGCGGUGAAAUGCGUAGAUAUCAGGAGGAACACCGGUGGUGUAGACGGCUUUCUGGACCGUAACUGACGCUGAGACACGAAAGCGUGGGUAG
rnacentral:rRNA from 1 species